AAAAAUAUUUAAAAUCUAAAAUUGCAAAAAACCCUAAAAACGUAUUCUAACGAUUUCAUUUAUUGAAAUAUUUCAUUUUUGGAGCACGAUUUCACGUAAUGAUCUAUUAAAGUAGCUACUCGACUAUGGGGCUGUUAACCAGAAGUAUGCAAAGGAAAGUAGGCUUUUGUUCUUCUAAAUUCUUCUCGAGAUUUUAAUAAUAUUUAUAAAGAAUAGGAUUUAUACGAAUCACUGAGCAAGUGCCCGAAUCUUACAACAAUUAAAUCAACAAUUAAAUCAAUCAAAUAAUUAACAGUUAAAUGUCCUCUUAUUUUUGUUUUAGUUGAAGUUAUGCGCAAAGUUAUUUUUAAGUGUAAACAUGUAAAAUAUUUACGUUCUUGUUUUUAUCCUGUAAUCUGUAUAUUAAAUCUAAAUAUGCAUUUUCCCCUUAAUUUCUGAGAAUCAUAGUAAAAGUGAAAAGAAUUAUUCUAAAAAUAUCAUUUCGGAUGAAUGAUCAGAUUUCGAUGUUGAUCACUUCAGUAAAAAAUAAAAGUGUUUAUUCCGAUUAUGCGUUUUCGGACUCGGAAGAUGAUCUCACUUGUACAGAAAUGUACCGUAAAAACGAAGAAGAAAAUCAAAAUCAUAUAAAUGUUGUGUCUACUAAUAACAUUGAUAAUCUUAGAAAGUGGGAUAAAAAGCAUUACAUAUUUUGUGGGAAUCAAUUUUCAAAACUACCUCGUCAUUUCGAAAGUAUUCAGUCCAGUUCUUAAUGAGAUUUAAAUCGAAUGGAACAGAAAAAAAAAAAGAAGAGAUGACCAACUAAUGUUAUUAAGAAAUAGAGAGACGCCUAAACAUAACAUUGAGGUUAUGAAACAAGGGAAAGGUGAUCUUAUAGUCGCCUAUCGACCUAAAGAAUCAGUAAAUCCGGAAAACUAUAUACCGUGCCCAGGUUGUUUUGGGUGGUAUGCGAAAAGAGACAUUUGGAAGCAUAAGUGCCCAUUUAUACAACCUGGUGCAAGGCUGUUAAGUGAAGGACGAAUGCUAAUACCCACAUACAAUGCAGUGGCUGAAAAUAUUAAACAGUUACUGACCAGAAUGCGGCAAGAUUAAGUCUCCCUCGCAAUUUGAACAGACUAUGUCAUUCUUGAGUACAUUCGGAGGUUAUAUCACAAAAAAGGAGACCAACCUCAUCGACAAAAUGAAAUACGCAAUAAUGCGAGGGAAAUGGGAAGACUACUCUUACAGAUGAGGAAAGUAAAAAAUAAAAAUUCAUGCUCCAUAAUGGACGUAAUUGAUCCAGCCCAAUUUAAAAACAUUGUUGAAUCUAUUAAAAUAAUAUCAGGAAUGAGCUUCUCUGCAUCUUGCAGAUCAACUCCUGAGCUAGCUCGAAAGUUGGGCAUUCAUAUCAAAGCUUGUGCCUCCAUUGUAGUGGGGAUGUCGAUUGAGAGAGGAGACAAAAUUCUACGGGAGAGGGCGGACCCUCUUCAAUAUGAACUUUAUAACUGAAAUCGGUGCUGAAGCCAAGUGAAUUCUAAAUAAAACUAAGAGAAAUAAAGAAGAGCUUAUUCCUUUUAUCUCAGAUAUCUUAAAACUGAACUCUUAUAUGAACUUUAUAACUGAAAUCGGUGCUGAAGCCAAGCGAAUUCGAAAUAAAACUAAGAGAAAUAAAGAAGAGCUUAUUCCUCUUAUCUCAGAUAUCUUAAAACUGAACUCUUAUUUGAACUUUAUAACUGAAAUCGGUGCUAAAGCCAAGCGAAUUCGAAAUAAAGCUAAGAAAAAUAAAGAAGAGCUUAUUCCUCUUAGCUCAGAUGUCUUAAAACUGAACUCUUUUCUAAAAAACUAAAUCAGAGGAAUGCCUCCAUCGCAUCGAAGGCAGAGGAAUGCCUUCGAAGAUAAGGAUAGUCUCCACCACAGAAUACUUUCCGCUUUUUCGGAGUUGCAAAAAGUGACUUUAAAACAAAUCAUAGUAUUCAAUCGAAGGAGAGAGGGAGAAGUGUCAAGAAUCAAAAUAGAGGACUUUAAAAAAAAUCAAAAGCUCAGCCGAAAGGUCUGACAUAGGAAAGAAUCUUUCAAAAAAUGAAAGAGCUCUAUGUAAAAUCUUGACAAGGAUGGAAAUACAAGGGAAGGGGGAUCGAACUGUCCCAGUUUUGCUAACACCAUCUGUCCGUAAAGCGAUUGAAGUGUGCUUGCAGAACAGAGCUGGGGUUAAUAACUUAUUUGCAAGCCAUUCAAAUCUAUCACUAUCAGGGAACGGCUUGUCUCCGCAAAUAUUCUGAAGAAUGUGGAGCAUCUCGCCCUGAUAGUUUAAGGUCUACUAAACUGAGAAAACAAAUUGCCUUACUUUCGCAGAUAAUUAAUUUAAAAAAAAAAACGUGAGAUGGAUUCCUUUGCGUCAUUUAUGGGGCAUGAUAUAGGAAUACAUAGAGAAUUCUACCGGUUGCCUAACGAUAUCAUCCAAAUCGCCAAGACAUCAAAGCUGCUUCUUUUCUUAGAUCAAGGGAACCUGCAUAAAGAGGGUGGUCAAACCUUGGAUGAAAUCCAGUUUUCAUUGGAUAACGAUUCAGAAGAAGAUGAUGACUACUUUUUAGGAAAAAAAUUUGAAGAAAAAAAUAAAGGUGUCAAGUCAAGUUAGGCAAAGAAAAUACGGAGCGAUGAUCGAAGAGAGGCAGUUGAAAAACAUUUAGGACAUUACAUAACAGGAGGCAAGUUACCAGGGGCAGACGCGAUUCCUAGGUGUAUCUCAUCUGAGAAAAGUUUACAGCAUAGGACUUGGCGGAAUGUUAAAGACUUCUGUCGCAACUGAAUCAGAAAGACAUUAAAAUAAAAUUUUGUGGCAUUAAAAAAAAUUAAAAUCUGUCUUUAGUUAUAUGAUUCGUUACAUUUAUCUGCACAACUAUUUAAGUAAUUACAUUCACA